UCGUCGUUACAGAUGAAUUCACCACUACAGAAUCAACAACAGAGGGGAUCAACGAAACUACACUUAAUCCGCAAAGCGUUACAGAUGGUAAACCGUUACUAGAUGCUAAUCCAUAUGUAGUGGACUCAAGUUCUCCAAAAAUGCCAAUGCUUGUUAUCUAUGGAUUAGUAUUCUUAGCAAUUCUAGUCAUAGUCGGAGUUCUUUUGGUGGUACUCGCGAUAAGGAGACAUCGAAAAAUUAUAAAUAACGAACUGACAAGGGGUAACGAAUUAACAUACGCAAAUUUGGAUUUUCCAACAUCUCAAACCGAUCGGCCAAGGCCCGUGGAAGAUACUCCGUACGCUGAAAUUAUAGGCGUAUUAAAACACAAAAAAUAAAAUAAAUAGAUCUGUGUUAUUACAGUUAUUAUUACACUGUAAAAUCAUGGCGCUCGACUAUGUAACACUAUUGAUUGUCUACACGCGGAUGAAUGUUAGAUUAUAACAUUUAGAGCUCAAAGAAAACCAUGGCUCGCAAAGAAGAAGAAUAAAUAUCAAUUUUGUUUAAAUCAUGAGCAGAAUGAAGAAUGAUUAUAAAAAUUGAAACAACGCUACUAAAAAAACAUAAAUUUGAAAUAUGUUGAUAUAAGUAAUUAUAAAACAAAACGAAUAAAUUAUAAC